UACGUAGGGGGCAAGCGUUGUCCGGAAUCAUUGGGCGUAAAGCGCGUGUAGGCGGUUUGUCGCGUCUGCCGUGAAAAUCCGGGGCUCAACCCCGGACUUGCGGUGGGUACGGGCAGACUAGAGUGUGGUAGGGGAGACUGGAAUUCCUGGUGUAGCAGUGAAAUGCGUAGAUAUCAAGAGGAACACCAGUGGCGAAGGCGAGUCCCUGGACAACACCUGACACUGAGGCACGAAAGCUAGGGGAGCAAACAGG
rnacentral:rRNA from 1 species